rnacentral:tRNA from 1 species
AAUUUUACAUAAAUAGUAUAUUAAAUAUAUUAGAUUUAGGUUCUAAAGAAUAAUUUAUGUU